rnacentral:rRNA from 1 species
UACGUAGGGGGCUAGCGUUGUCCGGAAUCAUUGGGCGUAAAGCGCGCGUAGGCGGCCCGGUAAGUCCGCUGUGAAAGUCAAAGGCUCAACCUUUGAAUGUCAGCGGAUACUGCCGGACUAGAGUUCGGAAGAGGCGAGUGGAAUUCCCGGUGUAGCGGUGAAAUGCGCAGAUAUCGGGAGGAACACCUAUGGCGAAGGCAGCUCGCUGGGACGUUACUGACGCUGAGACGCGAAAGCGUGGGGAGCAAACAGG